UACGUAGGGUGCGAGCGUUGUCCGGAAUUAUUGGGCGUAAAGAGCUUGUAGGCGGUCUGUCGCGUCUGCUGUGAAAAUCCGGGGCUUAACCCCGGACCUGCAGUGGGUACGGGCAGACUAGAGUGUGGUAGGGGAGACUGGAAUUCCUGGCGUAGCGGUGAAAUGCGCAGAUAUCAGGAGGAACACCGAUGGCGAAGGCAGGUCUCUGGGCCACUACUGACGCUGAGAAGCGAAAGCAUGGGGAGCGAACAGG
rnacentral:rRNA from 1 species